rnacentral:lncRNA from 1 species
CUUUUUACCUUCUCGGCCCCUGGGAUGGGACCCUCACAUGAGAGUGGAUUCUUCACAACCAGGAAGCAAUCCCAGAUGCUGCCCAAUUAUAACAACAACAAACAACAUCUACUAUAAUUUAGUGAGUGAGGCCUACUUCACAGGGUUGCUGGGAACAUUGAAUAAGAUCAUUCAUGCUAGGUCUUGAGUAUUAACUACCAUAAAAGAAGCUCUGAGUGAGAGAAGAAGGGAGUGAAUGGUAAAUAGGAAGUUGUAUCAGUCAGUGCUCACUAGAGAAACAGAUUUCAUGUAGGAUAUAUAAAUAUAAGGAUUUACAAGGUAUCCUUACAAUUGUCCCCCACAGAGUCAGGUGUGGAAGAGUGCAAAAGGGCUGUCUGUGUGCUGGAGAUCUGAAGGAUCCAGUCAAAGUUCAAAGGCCUGGAGCUCUCUGUAGCGUCCUGUGUGAGUCCAUAUCAGAGGCUGAAGGGUCUGUGCUGGAAGCUAGAGCCCAGACUAUUAAUGACUGCUCUAUAAUCAUCACCAGCACCAAACAUCUGGGACUAACUACUGCGAGCUUCCAGACCAAGUCUUUGCAAAGCUUCAAGGAAUAGUGGCAGAAGCAAGUGAGAAGUCUUUCCUAAACAACAAGAUUGAAGAAUAAAGAAAGGCCAGAUUUGGCCAUAAGCACAGAUGAAAGGCUAAGAGACACCUCUUGGCCUACUGUGGCUUUGGAUCUGAGGCCAGCAUGUACAACUGCCCAAUGGUGCACUGCACAAGGACACUACAUCCAAGAGAACACAUUCUCCUUAGGACAGUC